rnacentral:misc_RNA from 1 species
GUAUAUAGUAGUGCUUGUGCACAACAAGAGUUUCAUUACAUGCGAGUUUGUAUGUAGAAUCCUCUGCCAGCCGAAGCUAGCAAGAGGCCAGAAGUUCACAAGGGUAUUUGGAUGAAAGUCACCCACGUGCACUUGCCGGGGCCAGCACUGAAGGCAACGAUUCACAAUCAAUAAUGAUCCUUCCGCAGGUUCACCUACGGAAA